GCAGAGUAGCUUCAGGCGCGUCAAGUGCUCAUGGACGGGGAGUUGCCAUGAGACGAAGCCGGUUAGGUCCGGCGCGGUGCCUGCGGCGCAUCCCGCUGC
rnacentral:ncRNA from 1 species